rnacentral:rRNA from 1 species
CCUACGGGUGGCAGCAGUGAGGAAUAUUGGUCAAUGGGCGCGAGCCUGAACCAGCCAAGCCGCGUGAAGGAUGACUGCCCUACGGGUUGUAAACUUCUUUUAUAAAGGAAUAAAGUGAGGCACGUGUGCCUUUUUGUAUGUAUUUUAUGAAUAAGGAUCGGCUAACUCCGUGCCAGCAGCCGCGGUAAUACGGAGGAUCCGAGCGUUAUCCGGAUUUAUUGGGUUGAAAGGGUGCGUAGAUGGGUUGUUAAGUCAGAUGUGAAAGUUUUCGGCUCAACCCUAAAACUGCAAUUGAUACUGGCAGCCUUGAGUACAGUUGAGGUAGGCGGAAUUCGUGGUGUAGCGGUGAAAUGCUUAGAUAUCACGAAGAACUCCGAUUGCGAAGGCAGCCUACUAAACUGCCACUGACAUUGAUGCUCGAAAGUGUGGGUAUCAAACAGGAUUAGAUACCCUAGUAGUC